rnacentral:rRNA from 1 species
GGGGGAUGCCUUAGUUACGGCGAGUGAAGCGGCAAAAGCUCAAAUUUGAAAUCUGGUACCUUCGGUGCCCGAGUUGUAAUUUGGAGAGGGCAACUUUGGGGCCGUUCCUUGUCUAUGUUCCUUGGAACAGGACGUCAUAGAGGGUGAGAAUCCCGUGUGGCGAGGAGUGCGGUUCUUUGUAAAGUGCCUUCGAAGAGUCGAGUUGUUUGGGAAUGCAGCUCUAAGUGGGUGGUAAAUUCCAUCUAAAGCUAAAUAUUGGCGAGAGACCGAUAGCGAACAAGUACAGUGAUGGAAAGAUGAAAAGAACUUUGAAAAGAGAGUGAAAAAGUACGUGAAAUUGUUGAAAGGGAAGGGCAUUUGAUCAGACAUGGUGUUUUGUGCCCUCUGCUCCUUGUGGGUAGGGGAAUCUCGCAUUUCACUGGGCCAGCAUCAGUUUUGGUGGCAGGAUAAAUCCAUAGGAAUGUAGCUUGCCUCGGUAAGUAUUAUAGCCUGUGGGAAUACUGCCAGCUGGGACUGAGGACUGCGACGUAAGUCAAGGAUGCUGGCAUAAUGGUUAUAUGCCGCCCGUCUUGAACCACGGACCAAAA